GCCCAGGGGCGGGAAUCGAACCCACAACCUUCUGCUUACCGAGCAGGUGCCAUGUCCACUAGGCUACCCUGGA